GAUGAACGCUGGCGGCGUGCCUAAUACAUGCAAGUCGAGCGAACAGACGAGGAGCUUGCUCCUCUGACGUUAGCGGCGGACGGUUGAGUAACACGUGGAUAACCUACCUAUAAGACUGGGAUAACUUCGGGAAACCGGAGCUAAUACCGGAUAAUAUAUUGAACCGCAUGGUUCAAUAGUGAAAGACGGUUUUGCUGUCACUUAUAGAUGGAUCCGCGCCGCAUUAGCUAGUUGGUAAGGUAACGGCUUACCAAGGCGACGAUGCGUAGCCGACCUGAGAGGGUGAUCGGCCACACUGGAACUGAGACACGGUCCAGACUCCUACGGGAGGCAGCAGUAGGGAAUCUUCCGCAAUGGGCGAAAGCUUGACGGAGCAACGCCGCGUGAGUGAUGGAGGUCUUCGGAUCGUAAAACUCUGUUAUUAGGGAAGAACAAAUGUGUAAGUAACUAUGCACGUCUUGACGGUACCUAAUCAGAAAGCCACGGCUAACUACGUG
rnacentral:rRNA from 1 species